GAUGAACGCUGGCGGCGUGCCUAACACAUGCAAGUCGAACGAAGCUCGACGGAUGAUUUCUUCGGAAUGAAACCAGAUAUGACUUAGUGGCGGACGGGUGAGUAACACGUGAGCAACCUGCCUUUCAGAGGGGGAUAACGGCUGGAAACGGUCGCUAAUACCGCAUGAUGUGUUCGGAUGGCAUCAUCUGAACAUCAAAGAUUUAUCGCUGAAAGAUGGGCUCGCGUCUGAUUAGAUAGUUGGUGGGGUAACGGCCUACCAAGUCUACGAUCAGUAGCCGGACUGAGAGGUUGAACGGCCACAUUGGGACUGAGAUACGGCCCAGACUCCUACGGGAGGCAGCAGUGGGGAAUAUUGCACAAUGGGGGAAGCCCUGAUGCAGCAACGCCGCGUGAAGGAUGACGGUUUUCGGAUUGUAAACUUCUUUUCUUAGUGACGAAGACAGUGACGGUAGCUAAGGAAUAAGCAUCGGCUAACUACGUG
rnacentral:rRNA from 1 species